CCUACGGGGGUCAGCAGUGGGGAAUAUUGCACAAUGGGGGAAACCCUGAUGCAGCGACGCCGCGUGAGCGAUGAAGUAUUUCGGUAUGUAAAGCUCUAUCAGCAGGGAAGAAAAUGACGGUACCUGACUAAGAAGCCCCGGCUAACUACGUGCCAGCAGCCGCGGUAAUACGUAGGGGGCAAGCGUUAUCCGGAUUUACUGGGUGUAAAGGAAGCGUAGACGGUCCUGCAAGCCAGAUGUGAAAGCCCGGGGCUCAACCCCGGGACUGCAUUUGAAACUGUAAGGCGAGAGUGGCGGAGAGGAAGGCGGAAGUCCGAGUGUAGCGGUGAAAGGCGUAGAUAUUAGGAGGAACACCAGUGGCGAAGGCGGCAUGCUGGACGAUGACUGACGUUGAGGCUCGAAAGCGUGGGGAGCAAACAGGAUUAGAUACCCGUGUAGUC
rnacentral:rRNA from 1 species